AAUGGGGGCAACCCUGAUCCAGCAAUGCCGCGUGUGUGAAGAAGGCCUGCGGGUUGUAAAGCACUUUCGGUGGGGAGGAAAAGCCACGGGCGAAUAACCCGGGGUCUUGACGUAACCCACAUAAGAAGCACCGGCUAACUCCGUGCCAGCAGCCGCGGUAAUACGGAGGGUGCGAGCGUUAAUCGGAAUUACUGGGCGUAAAGCGUGCGUAGGCGGAUACUUGAGUCGGAGGUGAAAGGCCCGGGCUUAACCUGGGAAUUGCAUCCGAUACUGGGUGUCUAGGGUGUGGUAGAGGGGGGUAGAAUUCCUGGUGUAGCGGUGAAAUGCGUAGAUAUCAGGAGGAAUACCGGUGGCGAAGGCGACCCCCUGGACCAACACUGACGCUGAGGUACGAAAGCGUGGGUAGCAAA
rnacentral:rRNA from 1 species